AUUAGUACUAGUUCCCUUUUGGCUAAGAUCAAGUGUAGUAUCUGUUCUUAUCAGUUUAAUAUCUGAUUUGUGGGUCAUCGAGCUUGCAGAUUUUUAAACUUUAAAGUACCUUGAAUCAUGUGAUCUUGAUUGGCAGGGUUUGUUGAAGCUCGAUAAGAUUGUUGCAGCACAAUAUCUUGGAUAGUACUUGUUGGAGCAACCUGUC